GUCACAAUAGAGAUCAGAGCUUCAACACGUGGGUUUGGGGGGAACAUGCCCAGUCUUGGCACGGGUGUUCCUGAACUCACAUGUGGACACAGCACAGUCACAGAUGACACAUGGAUGACACCCCUGCGGGCACGCAGUUCUGCUCCCACGCAGGCCAGAGCAGGCCAGGACAGAGCCACGUGGGCCCAGGGACACGGCCCACAGUGACACAAGCUGAGCUGGCCAGUGGGGACACAUGUGGGGAUCUUCCCGACCCAAGGAUUGAACCCGGAUCUCCUGCAUUGCAGGCAAAUUCUUUAGGGACUGAGCUAUGACGGAAUCCCACAUUGAGCAGGGUUCCUUCCCCAAGAGAAAUGCCUUACCUGCGUUACCGCCGUCGGCCAGCAGGGGGCGAUUCCCGUUUACCUGAGGCUGACAGAGGGUGAUUUUUCUGGUCUUCGUAUCAUCUCUACUGAAGGGAAAAUGAAUGUAAGCUCUGUGGGAGUUUCAGAAACUGAAGGAUUUGAGUGUUUUUUCACCCUCCUCACAAGCUCACUGGCUCACCUGUUGCAACUGUGUGGAUGCUGGGAGAAGACGUGAGACUCCUGGGUCAGAAACACGCGGUGAAGCAGCUCAGGGGGCUUCUCCAUCAGCUCCCCUCUUCUGUCAAGUUCAGGUUGAUGCCACACACACAGGGCUGGCAUCACAGCUCAGGACCUCUGUGCUUAAGGACCCCCAACCAUUUAUCAUGGGCUGCCAGCAAACCUGACCUUGGCCUUGGAAGGGAGUCAUCUUUAUUACAUGACACAGUACAAACUUCCUUUUCCUCUAAAGGGAGAUCCUAUCUCUUUUUUCCCAAGUUAUUUGCCCUGCAAACAUCCUUGAAAAGUAUAGUGCCUCUGCUGGUAAGAGGUACAGAGAUGUGAGGGACCAUGAAGAACUGUCCCUCUGCAGAGGGCAGGGUUCAUGAAUGUGCUCAUCACUGUCCCAGUCCAUCACACCAGCCACCAUGCUCUAAGCCACAGAAUGGAAGCCAUGGGGCUGCAUCAGCCAAGCAGAGUUGGUGCCGUUUUCAGAAAGACCGAAUAGGCAUACAGACCAGCAGUGGUUCUAUGGAAAAAGCACCUCCUUUAUUGCUUUCUGUAUCCUGGAUUUUCAUUCUGGAAUUUCUCUUGGCUUGCUCCUGUCUGGAAAAUGAGAUAAAAGCACCAUGUGAACCUGA